rnacentral:rRNA from 1 species
UGCUUGGUGGAUCAGUGGCGAACGGGUGAGUAACACGUGAGCAACCUGCCCUGGACUCUGGGAUAAGCGCUGGAAACGGCGUCUAAUACUGGAUAUGAGACGUGAUCGCAUGGUCGUGUUUGGAAAGAUUUUUCGGUCUGGGAUGGGCUCGCGGCCUAUCAGCUUGUUGGUGAGGUAAUGGCUCACCAAGGCGUCGACGGGUAGCCGGCCUGAGAGGGUGACCGGCCACACUGGGACUGAGACACGGCCCAGACUCCUACGGGAGGCAGCAGUGGGGAAUAUUGCACAAUGGGCGGAAGCCUGAUGCAGCAACGCCGCGUGAGGGAUGACGGCCUUCGGGUUGUAAACCUCUUUUAGCAGGGAAGAAGCGAAAGUGACGGUACCUGCAGAAAAAGCGCCGGCUAACUACGUGCCAGCAGCCGCGGUAAUACGUAGGGCGCAAGCGUUAUCCGGAAUUAUUGGGCGUAAAGAGCUCGUAGGCGGUUUGUCGCGUCUGCUGUGAAAUCCCGAGGCUCAACCUCGGGCCUGCAGUGGGUACGGGCAGACUAGAGUGCGGUAGGGGAGAUUGGAAUUCCUGGUGUAGCGGUGGAAUGCGCAGAUAUCAGGAGGAACACCGAUGGCGAAGGCAGAUCUCUGGGCCGUAACUGACGCUGAGGAGCGAAAGGGUGGGGAGCAAACAGGCUUAGAUACCCUGGUAGUCCACCCCGUAAACGUUGGGAACUAGUUGUGGGGACCAUUCCACGGUUUCCGUGACGCAGCUAACGCAUUAAGUUCCCCGCCUGGGGAGUACGGCCGCAAGGCUAAAACUCAAAGGAAUUGACGGGGACCCGCACAAGCGGCGGAGCAUGCGGAUUAAUUCGAUGCAACGCGAAGAACCUUACCAAGGCUUGACAUAUACGAGAACGGGCCAGAAAUGGUCAACUCUUUGGACACUCGUAAACAGGUGGUGCAUGGUUGUCGUCAGCUCGUGUCGUGAGAUGUUGGGUUAAGUCCCGCAACGAGCGCAACCCUCGUUCUAUGUUGCCAGCACGUAAUGGUGGGAACUCAUGGGAUACUGCCGGGGUCAACUCGGAGGAAGGUGGGGAUGACGUCAAAUCAUCAUGCCCCUUAUGUCUUGGGCUUCACGCAUGCUACAAUGGCCGGUACAAAGGGCUGCAAUACCGUAAGGUGGAGCGAAUCCCAAAAAGCCGGUCCCAGUUCGGAUUGAGGUCUGCAACUCGACCUCAUGAAGUCGGAGUCGCUAGUAAUCGCAGAUCAGCAACGCUGC